rnacentral:lncRNA from 1 species
AACGCCGGUGUGCCGUGAAAAUACUUUAAACUGUGCCAAAUCGAAGAUUUAUUCAAAGAAAACGCGAAGUUUUACUUGUCCAAGCGAAAAUCUGCUCUGAGCCAAAGAGAACCAGCCACACAUCGAAGUCGAGGCUGACUGCGUCGUCGACGGGACGCGACGAAACCGUUAUGUUAUUAUUCCUCGACGUCUUUGGACAAGGCAUGGCUCGACAUGUGACCGACCUUAUCGCCGAUGUCUUUCCGUCUCAGUUACUUGUUAUUCUUCGACGUGUUCGGACAAGUGGCUCGUCGUGAGACCGAUUUUCCUGUUCAUCGUGCCACGCCCCACCGGAACUUUGAGAAUCUUCGAACGAGAGUUUGGCUCGGAACGUAGCGAACACGACAGAGUAUCUCCGUAUACGAGUGCAGACGUCCUCAAUAACGGACACGGAGCUUGGCCUCGAAGACCUUAGUGUAAACAUAGAGCGAAAAGGAAACACCGGUGCGGAAUGCGGCCGUUAUGUCGAGUGAUAAUACACCAGCGUGGACACCGACGGAGCCUACGCUCGAGGAAAGUGGAAAGUAAACAUUAGACAAAGAAACGCGAAGCGUUCCGAGGUUAGUAUGUGCGUGGAUCGCGAGCUGCGAACAACGACGAGAACGCGAAAGACUAUAACGCGCUAAAAAUUAAUUCCCCAAUCGCGUCGUUCGUAAAACCGUCGUUGCUAGUGAUGUUCGCGUGGAGUGCAGUGAUACGUGGCGUAGUGGGGGAAGCAGUGGAGUGUCCGUGCGCGACGGAAUCUUUGGUUCGGACUGUAGGGGCUAACCGUAACGCCCAUGACCCUGACGCUUGGAUUUACAAACGAGGGCUCUGCUAUCCGUAAACCAGCAGGUGCUUCCGUGAUGGCAGCGGUGUUCGGGAAAAAAGAAAUAGCUCGCUGCCAGCCACGUCCCUCGCUUCCUAAUUCCUCGUCUUAAUCACGAGGAUCGUUCGCUUAGACCCGGCUAACAACCGGCGAGACGCGAGUCCGUGCUGGCCGCGUCAGGCAUCGAGCGUUCACGCGUACAAAGUCGGACAAGAGGAAGAGGAUAAUCCGCCUGGAUUCCAUCGGACACGUCGUUUCGUCGGGAACGAGAACAAUUCGACGCUGGAGGAGCCGUGGAACGCGUUGCGUAAGAGAUUGGAUGCGUCCGAGUGGCUGCCCUGGAAAUGAGUCGAUCGAGGGCUUUCGUGACGGGUGGCAGGGUUUUGCACGAGGCAGGUCGGGCGAAGCGAGGAGGAACAAAGUGGAAGAAAAUAGAACAAAAUGGAAGAAAAUGGAACAAAAUGGAGGAUGGUUGUUGGCGCGUCGGACGAAACGCGUAAGCACCGGGAAGCAGACGACGACAUGGAGGCGAUCGGGUAAUUAAAGUUAAUUAUACGGACAAAAGAAGACGCGUGGAGGAAGGAGAGGACCGCAUUUCCCUUUGUCCUCGUUAACCUUGCAAUCUCUGCUACUUAUUUCCGCAGUUACUCGCGUGAAACCGAGCGUUCGCGGUUUACGAGCGUAAAUGUAGCAAUGAAACAUUCCGUUCUUUCCGAGUCAGCGACAGUGAGGCCAGAGGAUGGCUGACCAGUCUACGAUGUCUUCUCUCGGGCUCGUAUGGAAAGAUCCAACGAC